rnacentral:rRNA from 1 species
UGGGGAAUUUUGCACAAUGGGGGAAACCCUGAUGCAGCGACGCCGCGUGAUUUAGAAGGCCUUCGGGUUGUAAAAAUCUUUUUUACGGGAUGAAAAUGACAGUACCGUAAGAAUAAGGUCCGGCUAAAUACGUGCCAGCAGCCGCGGUAAUACGUAUGGACCGAGCGUUGUCCGGAAUCAUUGGGCGUAAAGGGUACGUAGGCGGCCUAGUAAGUUAGAAGUGAAAUAAUAUAGCUCAACUAUAUAAAGCUUUUAAAACUGCUAGGCUGGAGAGAUGGAAGGGAAAGUGGAAUUCCUAGUGUAGCGGUGAAAUGCGCAGAUAUUAGGAAGAAUACCGGUGGCGAAGGCGACUUUCUGGUCAUCAUCUGACGCUGAGGUACGAAAGCGUGGGUAGCAAACAGG